rnacentral:tRNA from 1 species
GAGGGUAUAGCUCAAGUGGUAAGAGUGCAUGUUUAGCAUGCAUGAGGUGCUGGGUCAAUCCCCAGUACCUCCU